UUUUUUUUUUGCUUCGCAACAAAUUUUUUUCGAAAAAGUCUACAAACGGUCUAAAAACUGCCUAGCCAGAAUUUUCCAGACUUAGUUUUUUUUUGAAAUUGGAACUAUUUUUCUUCUGCGGAUGGCUCGGAAGUUGGGGAGUCCUUCUCUAUCAUGACUCGGAGUGUCGCGUGAUCUGGAAAUCGAGAACAAUGCAACAAUUACUGGACUCGGACUAGGACUGGUGGCGGAGAUGAAUCUGGUGGAACUCGGACUGGUGGCGGAGAUGAAUCUGGUGGAACACGGACAGGUGGCGGAUAUAUGUUGCAGGUGAACUCGGAUUGGCGUGAUGGCGGCGGAUAUGUGGUGGCGUAUAUCGAUUCGUUUUGGCGGUGAAUAUGUGGUGGUGGUAUAUGGCAACAGCGACGAUGAUGAUGCGGUGGUGAUAUAUGGCAGCGGCGACGUGACAACCUGUGAACAGAACUCGAAACUCUAAAAGACUAGACGCUAAGACCAGCAACUGGACACGACGAUGCAACCGCAAAUUCAACAAAGCAAAUACAGAAAAGAUUAUGCAAGGCUUAGAUUGGUUCGGAUGGGAUGAACUAACCCUAAUUUUUUUUGGCUUUUUCGUGGACUAUAGGUAUGAAGAACAGACUCGAUCUAAACUACGAAAAACUGUAAAAUCUCACCGAGCAACCUGGAAAUCUGAUACCACUUGAUAGAGGCAAAGGUGUCCCGUCUUUCGAUGAGAUGAUGGAUAUCGCUUUGGUGGAAGUCGACUUUGACGAUCCGACUACGAACGUGCGAGGACGUCGCGCCUUAGCAAUCACUAAACCAACUCCGAGAGGUAUUGACCACGCCGGAGCACGAUCAACCUGACCACGAGGGUCUGUUUCCUGCGAGCAAUCGAAGAACAAGCAAGAAACUAAGAUUGCAAUCUGGAUAUUGCGAAUAUAAGAUGAAAGCUUUAUUGAUCAAGGUGGGGUUCUGUGACACCUUUGCCUGGUCGUUGAACACAAACGGAGUACGCGAAGUUGCAGCUAUGGCGAACUUUUAAUCUAAACAAAACCCAAAGUCUAAACGGUGCCCUAAGGGCUGUAUAUAUGGAGGAAGAGAGGGGGAAUUUCGUGGCCCUUGGUGGAGGGGUCCGAAAUCAACCCUAUCUCUUGUUUCCCCACACAUACGGACUCUAAAAAUAGCCUAUACUUAUGUAUUUCGAAAUUACAUGGACCUGGCCCAAUAAAAAGGUGACGCGGCACCUAUAAUAGCCUUGGAAUGAAAUUUAUGAAGUGGCAUCUUGUAUAUUUCGUCCAUGGCUUCAUGCACCCAUUAUGGUGGCUUCAAAGUCCUGAAAUCAUCACUUGUAACUCCGUUCUUGUUCCCCUUGCGCAUGGCAUCAUCUCCAUGCUUGUUCUUGCUCCAAUGUUCAUCCUUCUCCAAGCUAGGCCCUUCAUUUGUAAGCAAAACAAAUGUAUCCAAUUUAGGCAGCAUCAUAUUCUCAUGAACAUUAGAAUCAUUACCAAGAAACGAAAGUACUUGAUAAUUUAAUUGGCGUGCGCGAGCUCUAGUAAUUGGUCCCAUAUAUGUAGCAGUAGGGGCUGUGGGUGUAACAAUGGUAUUGAUGUCCUCAUCAGAUAGGAACACCUCUAGUGAACCUGAAGUAGAAAAAACUCCUAAUGAUAAUGAUGUCUCUAUCUCAGAUGCUGAAACUCAAUCUGGUAGUGAGCAUUCACCUAGUGAUAACAACAAUGAUAAUGAUGAUGUUCAUGAAGAUGCCCAACAAGACAAUGAAAAAGAACCAUACAAUGAUGUUAAGAUAGAACCGGAUGUCGAACUUGAUAACCCACAACCUAAAAAUAAAUGUUAUGAUAAAAGAGACUGUGUUGCUAGAAAGCAUGGUAAAGAAAGAGAACCGUGGGUUCAGAAACCCAUGCCCUUUCCACCUAAACCAUAUAAGAAAAAGGAUGAUGAAGAAUUUGAACGCUUUGCUAAAAUGCUUAGGCCAGUCUUUUUGCGUACUUAUUUGACUGGUAUUUUAAAGGUGGACCCUUAUGUUAAAUACAUGAAAUAUAUUGUCACUAAUAAAAGAAAAAUACCUGAAGCUGAAAUCUCCACCAUGCUUGCUAAUUAUUCCUUUAAGGAUGGAGUACCUAAGAAAUUGGGAAAUCCAGGAAUACCAACUAUACCAUGCUACAUUAAAAGAAUGUCAAAAUGGCUUUAUUGAUUUGGGAGCCAGUGUUAGUGUUAUGCCUUUCUCUUUAUAUAAAAUACUUGAUUUGAAUAAGCUCACACCUGCUGAAAUAUCAUUGCAUAUGGCUGACAAAUCAACUGCCAUAGCUGUCGGUAUUUGUGAGGAUGUGCCCGUUGUUGUUGCAAAUGUUACUAUCUUAACAGACUUUAUUAUACUUGUGAUGCCCGAGGACGACAACAUGUUGAUUAUCCUUGGUAGACCCUUUUUGAAUAUUGCAGGGGCUAUAUUGAUUACAAUAAAAGCAAAGUCACUUUUCAUAUCAAUGGUAAUGAGCAUAUGGUGCACUUUUCGAAGAAACAAUUUCAAGUGAAUGGUAUUAAUGUUAUUGAAAAAUCUCCGACAAUUACUAUUGGAAGUUUUCAACUCCCUUUACCUACUACCAAAAAGAAUUAUGCAACACUUAUUGUUGGAGAGAUGCUUAUCCCCGUUGAGCUAAGUUAGUGUUUUAUGAAAGUUCUUUGGGUUCAUGCUAAUCGAAAGUGAUUGUUAUUAAGCCUUGAUCAACCUUAUUAAUGGAUUAUUUUCGAGAGGCGUGUAGUCGAUGAAUUUAGUAAGCACAACUUUUUGUCCCUACAUUUGUUUUUCUGUUACUCUUAGUUAAAUAAAACAAAAUGUCAGAUUAUUCCAGUUUUCUGAUUUCUCCAUGCAAUAAAAAAGUGGCCAAAAAUAAUAGUGCUCAGAAUGACCUGAAAUUUUUUCACAAUUUUUUUUGAAUAUUUAACUAUUUCUGAUAUAAAUAACAUCAUAGGGAGGUGCCCCUGGUGCCCACUAGGCACCAGGGCGCGCCCCGGUGGGUAGUGGGCCCCACGUGUCGCCCUCACUUAUCCCUUUAGCUCACUUCACCACCUACCACCAGAAAAAAUCACUCCAUCUCUCUCUCUCUCUCUCUCUCUCUCUCUCUCUCUCUUGUGUUCUUGCUCUCAAACCCGCGGAUUCUGAUAGAGGCAAAGGUGUCCCGUCUUUCGAUGAGAUGAUGGAUAUCGCUUUGGUGGAAGUCGACUUUGACGAUCCGACUACGAACGUGCGAGGACGUCGCGCCUUAGCAAUCGCUAAACCAACUCCGAGAGGUUAUUGACCACGCCUGAUAGAGGCGAGGGUCCUGAUCUUUCGAUGAGAUGAUAACUAUCGAUUUGGUGGAGACGACUUUGACAAUCCGACUACAAACGUGCACGACGUUGCGCCUUAGCAAUCGCUAAACCAAUCUCCUGAGGUUACUGACGAUGCCGGAAGCACGGUCAGCCUGACCACGAAGGUCUAUUCCUGCAAGCAAUCGAAGAAUGAGCAAGAAUAUGAUAAAGCAAUCUGAAUAUUGCAAAUAUAUAUGAGGUAUUGAUAAUGGUGGGGAUCCGUAAGCGGUCUUGGUCUGGUCGUUGGACACAAACGAAGUACACGAAGUUGCAAUGGCUAACUUUCAACUAAACAGAUCCCAAGGAAAAGCUACUAGAUGGAUCUACUUAUAUAGGAGCAAGGGGUGGCGGCCAAGGAGGUGGGAGGACGUCCCAAGGCAGCCUAAAACUAAAUCUAGGUCGUACAAGGCCAAUGGGCCCAAGUGGAGGUGAUGUAACACCUUUGGACUUGUAGUUUGACUCGGAUUCUGCUGCAGCAUCAAAUUGUUUCGUCCACAACUCAACGCUCCGGACGAAUUUGAAGGUGAUUCCAAUUGGGUUGGAAAGUGCACGAAAUCUAGUUUCCAACAAAAAAAGAAUCACCCAAUUCGGAGUCCGUAUGAAAAACUUGUGUGCGUUUUGAGUCAGGUGUGUCUGUGCAGUCCGAAUCUGAAUCCAGAACGUGAGAGACUUGGACUCUAUCUUCUCUUGGGCCAAAAGUGACGUGCGAGAACUUUUUGGACAGCAAAUAAACAUCUCUUUCUUCCUUAUCUUCAUAUGUGGAUUAUACAAAUGUCCCAUACACCUGCAAUUAGACAAAACAUAAAAGUGUGUGAAGUAUUUUUGUUCUGGAUAACAUAAAUAGAUUAUUGAAUAGUUUGCACUAGAAAUCACCUGACAAAUAUGCAUAUCUGCAAUAUUUUUGGUCAUAUCCAAGGUAGUCAUGUCCUCAUCAUCCUCCCCUUCUUGAAAAUAAAGCCGUCCUCGGCGUUGCUUAAUCUGAAAUGUGGCUAACAAAAGAGGCAAGGUGUACAUGUUGUAUAUGUAUAUGUCAUCCAUUUUUACUUCCCUUGAAUUUUGCAUAUAUGACACAUGAAUAGAUGAGUAACUUGCAUAGUUCAUAAAAUCUAAAGCCAAAAAAUUAGCACAAGAAGUAGAAGGCAUGAAAAUAUUGCAACUCAGUUUGCACAUAUAAGUGAAUCUCUUAUUCAUUUCAAAAGAUUGACAAUGUUCAUCAUUAAACCAUCCCAACAUUGGUGAAUAAACCUUACUUGCAUCAAAUUUACAUGCUACAACAUGCUUAAAUAAGCAAACAUGCAAUAAGUCAUUCAACACAGAAUCAUCACCAAGAUUAGAGGUCAUAUCAAAAUGAUUAAACAUUGGUUCUUUUGCAUCAAUAGUUAAUUCAAUGGGUGCACUCAAAAUUGUUGGUAUUUCAGUUGUUUGAUCACAUGACAAAGUCAAAUUAUCAACGUAGUCCUCUAAAAUAGGUGGUGUGAUCAAAGUAGUGGGUAGCUCAUCAGAUGGUGCAUUCAAAUUGACAAGGCAUUCAUCAUUCUCAUGUAGAGAUGGAAGAUCAAUACCUUUGUCAUUACCUCUUAUGAUCAACUCAGAUGAUGGAGCCACUCUCGGGGGCGAUGUGUCACAUGGUGGAGGUGAUGUAGUCCUGACAACAACGGAUGUGGUUGUCAUAGUAUGCCUAGUAGUUGAAGGAACAACCAUAUCAACUCUUGGAAUGUGCACAGUGCGCUUGUUCUCCUCGUGGCCAACACGUCGUUUUAUUUCCUGUUCAGCUUUGCAAGCAAGAUGAAACAAAUGGUCCAUAGGAUAACACUCUUCAUGAAUUAGUAUCUCUUGAAUAUCACAGUUUAAUCCUCCCCAAAAUCUAUCCAUAAAAUCAUCUUCACUUUCUUCUAAAGAGGAAUGCAACAAGGUAGUUUGUAAAUCAUCAUAAUAUUUUGUUAUAGUUUCACUACCUUGUUUUAAGUGUUGCAACUUCUUAAUCAUGUCACGAGUAUAAUAAGCAGGGACGAAAGUAUGUCGCAUGGCAAGUUUCAAAUCAUCCCAAGUAGUAGGUAUAUAAUCAGGGUGUAACCGACAAUAUUCACUCCACCAAACCAAAGCAUAACCAGUGAAAGAACCAACCGCAACCUUAACCUUUUUAUGUUCAUCGAAAUUAUGGGAAGCAAAUAUAUUUUUUAUGUCGAACUCCCAUUCAAUAUAUAAAGCAGGUUUAAAACGGCCAUUAAAUGGUGGUAUAGAUACAUUAACCUGAUCAUGUGCAUUUGGAUGUUUGUGCACCUCUCGUGACGGUUGUGGUAUUUGCAAAGGUGGUGGCACGUCUCCCGCGAUCGACGAAGCCCAUGAAUUGACUCUGGAUCCUGUCAUGAUUAGUAGAACAAGAAACAAAACUCAAAAAUAAUGUUCCUAUAACUACUAGGAUGUGGUGGUAAAACGCUCACUGUAAAGCAAAUAUCAAUGUCUUACACGUUCUUACCAUGCAGCAGGCGGUAAUCGGCAACCAGCGGUGUCAAGUAACUCCGAAUAUUGAGUAAAGCGAUUGCCAGGGGAGCGUACGUAUACACGGUGUAGAAACAUGUGGAGCUGGGUUGGCUAUAUAUGGUAGCAAAAGAUUAGCAAUAAUCAAUUCAAAGAUGCAAUGUUGAAUAAACGCUCAACGACGGUACUGUGCUGGUCCUAGGCUAGACCGGACUAGAGACGCGAGCCUAGAACACUAAUAAGGUCACGGCGUAGCACAACUAGCAUCAAUGAAGGAUACUAAGUAGCUCUUGACAGCAAGAUAUAAGUGAAGAUCACAACGGCAGUGAAGAUAAUGAUGAAAAACAACUGCCAAGCAGGAUAUACAACAACUCUCUCUCCAACUUUCCUCUUGAAAAGUUUGAGACAAUUUUCUGAUAAAUUCUUUCAAAGAAUGCUACUAACUCAAGCUUUCCAAUGCAAAAAGAAUCACUCAAUUCCGAGUUGAUAUGAGGAGUCAAAGAAUUCUAAAACUGGCCUGAAAAAUUGGAACAAGCUGUGUUCACGAACUUCGGAGGGAAAAAAGACCUAUUUAGAAGCCGAUUUUGAGGUGUCAAAUAUUGAACUAGCUUCUGCAACUAUUUAGAUGCGGCUCGUCGCUAUCUUCAAUUUGAGUACCCACGGAGCCAAAACGGACUUCGUAUGAGGAAGAUACACCUGUUUUACUGAACAGUGCGCAAAACAGAUUCCAAUCCGAAUUCAGGUACGAGAUUGAUUCUAGAUAGAUCCAAUUUUUUUUCUUCUCUCUUUUUUUUUCUCACGCUUUUUUUUUCUUUUCCUUUCUUUUUUUUUUCUCUGACUUUUUUUUUACUUUUUUUUCUCUCGUUUUUUUUCUCUAUCUUUUUUUUUCUCUCUCCCUCUUUUCAAAACAAACUAGAUAAGAUGUAGAUUGGAUCAAGCGAAGAUGGGAACGAUCUCAACUAUGAUUAUGACAAUGAAUGGUGGGUAGCACGUGGAGGAAAUUGAUGGAUGGGUGAUGGACAGCGGAAGGGAUAAUGAUGCAGCGGCGACGUGACUAAUGUGAACAGAACUCGAAACUCUAAACGACCUAGACACUAAGACCAGCAACUCGACACGACGAUGCAACCGAUAAUUCAACUAUGCAAGCAAUGAAAAGAAAAUUGCAAAGGCUCAGACUGGCUUGGACCAAGGAUGAAUAGAUCUAACUCUUUUUUGUGGCUUUUUCUUGGACAAUAGGUAAGAAAAUAAAUCUAAUCUAGGAAAACUGGAAAUUCUCACCGAGCAACCUGAAAACUGAUACCACUUGAUAGAGGCGAGGGUCCCGAUCUUUCGAUGAGAUGAUAACUAUCGAUUUGGUGGAGACGACUUUGACAAUCCGACUACAAACGUGCACGACGUUGCGCCUUAGCAAUCGCUAAACCAAUCUCCUGAGGUUACUGACGAUGCUGGAAGCACGGUCAGCCUGACCACGAAGGUCUAUUCCUGCAAGCAAUCGAAGAACGAGCAAGAAUAUGAUAAAGCAAUCUGAAUAUUGCAAAUAUAUAUGAGGUAUUGAUAAUGGUGGGGAUCCGUAAGCGGUCUUGGUCUGGUCGUUGGACACAAACGAAGUACACGAAGUUGCAAUGGCUAACUUUCAACUAAACAGAUCCCAAGGAAAAGCUACUAGAUGGAUCUACUUAUAUAGGAGCAAGGGGUGGCGGCCAAGGAGGUGGGAGGACGUCCCAAGGCAGCCUAAAACUAAAUCUAGGUCGUACAAGGCCAAUGGGCCCAAGUGGAGGUGAUGUAACACCUUUGGACUUGUAGUUUGACUCGGAUUCUGCUGCAGCAUCAAAUUGUUUCGUCCACAACUCAACGCUCCGGACGAAUUUGAAGGUGAUUCCAAUUGGGUUGGAAAGUGCACGAAAUCUAGUUUCCAACAAAAAAAGAAUCACCCAAUUCGGAGUCCGUAUGAAAAACUUGUGUGCGUUUUGAGUCAGGUGUGUCUGUGCAGUCCGAAUCUGAAUCCAGAACGUGAGAGACUUGGACUCUAUCUUCUCUUGGGCCAAAAGUGACGUGCGAGAACUUUUUGGACAGCAAAUAAACAUCUCUUUCUUCCUUAUCUUCAUAUGUGGAUUGUACAAAUGUCCCAUACACCUGCAAUUAGACAAAACAUAAAAGUGUGUGAAGUAUUUUUGUUCUGGAUAACAUAAAUAGAUUAUUGAAUAGUUUGCACUAGAAAUCACCUGACAAAUAUGCAUAUCUGCAAUAUUUUUGGUCAUAUCCAAGGUAGUCAUGUCCUCAUCAACGCCGGAGCACGAUCAACCUGACCACGAGGGUCUGUUUCCUGCGAGCAAACGAAGAACAAGCAAGAAACUAAGAUUGCAAUCUGGAUAUUGCGAAUAUAAGAUGAAAGCUUUAUUGAUCAAGGUGGGGUUCUGUGACGCCUUUGUCUGGUCGUUGAACACAAACAAAGUACGCGAAGUUGCAGCUAUGGCGAACUUUUAAUAUAAACAAAACCCAAAGUCUAAACGAUGCCCUAAGGGCUGUAUAUAUGGAGGAAGAGGGGGGAAUUUCGUGGCCCUUGGUGGAGGGGUCCGAAUCAACCCUAUCUCUUGUUUUCCCACACAUACGGACUCUAAAAAUAGCCUAUACUUAUGUAUUUCGAAAUUACAUGGGCCUGGCCCAAUAAUAAGGUGACGCAGCACCUAAAAUAGCCUCGGAACAAAAUUUAUGAAGUGGCAUCUUGUAUAUUUCGUCCAAGGCUUCAUGCACCCAUUAUGGUGGCUUCAAAGUCCUGAAAUCAUCACUUGUAACUCCGUUCUUGUUCCCCUUGCGCAUGCCAUCAUCUCCAUGCUUGUUCUUGCUCCAAUGUUCAUCCUUCUCCAAGCUAGGCCCUUCAUUUGUAAGCAAAACAAAUGUAUCCAAUUUAGGCAGCAUCAUAUUCUCAUGAACAUUAGAAUCAUUACCAAGAAACGAAAGUACCUGGUAAUUUAGUUGGCGUGUACGAGCUCUAGUAAUUGGUCCAGUAUGUAUAGCAGCAGGGGCUGUGGGUGUAACAAUUGUAUUGAUGUCCUCAUCAUCCUCCCCUUCUUGAAAUGAAGUCGUCCCCGACGGAAGUUCAUCUUCCUCACCCAAAUAAGGCUUCAAAUCUGCAAUGUUAAAAGUGGGACUAACCCCAAAAUCUGCAGGCAGCUCAAGUUUAUAUGCAUUAUCAUUUAUUUUCUCUAACACCUUAAAGGGACCAUCAGCACGUGGCAUUAGCUUUGAUUUGCGCAAAUCAGGAAAUCUAUCCUUACGCAAAUGUAACCAAACAAGAUCUCCAGGUGCAAACACAACAUGUUUUCUACUCUUAUCUCCAGCAAGUUUAUAUUUAGCAUUCAUACGCUCAAUGUUUUCCUUAGUUAACUCAUGCAUUUUUAAAAUCAAUUCAGCACGUUGUUUAGCAUCAAAAUUAACCUUCUCCGAAGAUGGAAGAGGCAACAAAUCAAUAGGUGCACGAGGUAGGAAACCAUACACAACUUCAAAAGGGCACAUCUUAGUAGUAGAAUGCAAUGAACGAUUAUAAGCAAAUUCAAUAUGAGGCAAGCAUUCCUCCCACAUUUUCUUAUUAUUCUUCAUAACAGCCCUAAGCAUAGUAGACAACGUUCUAUUGACUACUUCAGUUUGUCCAUCAGUUUGGGGGUGACAAGUAGUACUAAAAAGCAGUUUAGUCCCCAACUUAGCCCAUAAACAUCUCCAAAAGUGGCUAAGAAAUUUAGUAUCACGAUCUGAAACAAUAGUAUUUGGCACACCAUGCAAGCGAAUAAUUUCACGAAAGAACAAAUCAGCAACAUUAACAGCAUCAUCGCUUUUAUGACAUGGUAUAAAGUGUGCCAUUUUCGAGAAUCUAUCCACGACAACAAAUAUGCUAUCCCUCCCCUUCUUUGUUCGAGGUAAACCUAAAACAAAGUCCAUAGAUAUAUCCUCCCAAGGAACACUAGGUACAGGCAAAGGCAUAUAUAAACCAUGAGGAUUGAGUCGUGACUUAGCUUUUUGACAUGUAGUGCAGCGAGCAAUAAAACGCUUAACAUCCCGUCUCAUCUUUGGCCAAAAGAAAUGUGUAGCAAGUACGUCCUCCGUCUUCUUCACGCCAAAGUGUCCCAUUAAUCCUCCUCCAUGCGCCUCCUGCAACAACAGAAGACGAACGGAGCUAGCUGGAAUGCAUAGCUUGUUAGCACAAAACACAAAUCCAUCGUUAACAACAAACUUGUUCCACAUUCUUCCUUCUUUACAAUUCUGCAUUACAUCUUUAAAAUCAGCAUCAUGCACAUAUUGAUCUUUGAUGGUCUCCAAACCAAAUAUUUUGAAGUCAAGUUGUGAAAGCAUAGUAUAGCGACGAGACAAUGCAUCAGCAAUAACAUUUUCUUUUCCCUUCUUGUGUUUAAUGACAUAAGGGAAAGUCUCAAUGAAUUCAACCCAUUUAGCAUGUUUAUGAUUCAGUUUAGCUUGACUUUUAAUAUGUUUCAAAGAUUCAUGAUCAGAAUGUAUAACAAAUUCUUUGGGCCAUAAAUAAUGUUGCCAUGUUUCUAAAGUCCGAACAAGAGCAUAUAAUUCUUUAUCAUAAGUAGAAUAAUUCAGACUAGGCCCACUCAAUUUUUCAGAAAAGUAUGCAACAGGUUUGCCAUCUUGUAAUAACACACCUCCUAAUCCAAUUCCACUAGCAUCACAUUCAAGCUCAAAAGUCUUAUUAAAAUCAGGAAGUUGGAGUAAAGGAGCAUGUGUCAACUUAUCUUUCAAUACCGUGAAGGCUUCUUCCUGUGCGGUACCCCAAAGAAAAGGCACAUCUUUCUUUGUAAGCUCAUUGAGAGGUGCAGCAAUGGUGCUGAAAUCUCUCCCAAAACGCCUAUAGAAUCCAGCGAGGCCAAGAAAACUCCUCACUUGUGUGACCGUUUUGGGCUGCGGCCAACUCUCAAUAGCUUCAAUCUUGGCUUUAUCAACUUCAAUUCCCUGUGGAGUAACAACAUAGCCAAGAAAAGAUACUCGGUCGGUGCAAAAGGUGCACUUCCCAAGGUUACCAAACAAACGUGCAUCACGUAGAGCAAUAAAAACAGCACGUAAAUGUUCCAAAUGUUCCUCCAAAGAUCUGCUAUAAAUCAAUAUGUCAUCAAAGUAAACUACCACAAAUCGUCCAAUGAAAGCACGUAAAACUUCGUUCAUUAAUCUCAUGAAAGUACUAGGUGCAUUAGUUAACCCAAAAGGCAUGACUAACCACUCAUAUAAUCCAAACUUAGUUUUAAAUGCUGUUUUCCAUUCAUCUCCCAAUUUCAUACGAAUUUGAUGGUAGCCACUACGCAAAUCAACUUUGGAGAAUAUUGUAGAGCCACUCAAUUCAUCAAGCAUAUCAUCUAGCCUAGGAAUAGGAUGACGAUAACGAAUAGUAAUAUUAUUAAUGCAUCUACAAUCAACACACAUACGUGAUGUACCAUCCUUUUUCGGCACUAGAAUAAUAGGAACAGCACAAGGACUACGGGAUUCGCGUAUAUAACCUUUGUCGAGAAGCUCUUGUACUUGACGCAUAAUCUCCUUCGUCUCCUCUGGAUUGGUACGGUAUGGUGCACGGUUUGGCAGUGAAGCACCGGGAAUUAAGUCAAUCUGAUGCUCAAUCCCUCGAAUAGGCGGUAAUCCCGGUGGCACGUCUUGUGGAAAAACGUCAGCGAACUCCUGCAAAAUGUUAGUGACAGCAGGAGGCAAAGAAGAAGGCACGUCCUCGAAUGAAAAUAAUGCCUCUUUGCACACAAAAGCAUAGCAAACAGAUUUGCUGAAAUCUAGCUCAUCAAUAUCAGAUUUGGUGGCAAAUAAACAUGCACUUUUCAAUUUAAUUUCAGAAGCAACACUAGAUGGUUUAUUAUUAGGCUUCAUUUGUUGCUCAAAUUCUUUUGCCACAAUCUGAUUUUCACUCUUAUUCGUCUCCUGUUUUGCUUUAUUAGCUCUAUUAAUAUCAUCUUUCAAAAUGGAAUCAGGAGUCAUAGGAAGCAAAGUAAUAUUUUUAUCCUUAUGAACAAGAGUAUAGUGAUUGUUUCUACCAUGGUGUACAGAAUUUUUAUCAAAUUGCCAUGGUCAACCAAGUAAUAAGGAACAUGCUUGCAUAGGUACCACAUCACAAUCAACAUAAUCAGCAUAUGUAGAGAUACUAAAAUGCACACGAACAGUACGUGUUAUGAUGAGGACAUCAAUACAAUUGUUACACCCACAGCCCCUGCUGCUAUACAUACUGGACCAAUUACUAGAGCUCGUGCACGCCAACUAAAUUACCAGGUACUUUCGUUUCUUGGUAAUGAUUCUAAUGUUCAUGAGAAUAUGAUGCUGCCUAAAUUGGAUACAUUUGUUUUGCUUACAAAUGAAGGGCCUAGCUUGGAGAAGGAUGAACAUUGGAGCAAGAACAAGCAUGGAGAUGAUGGCAUGCGCAAGGGGAACAAGAACGGAGUUACAAGUGAUGAUUUCAGGACUCUGAAGCCACCAUAAUGGGUGCAUGAAGCCUUGGACGAAAUAUACAAGAUGCCACUUCAUAAAUUUCGUCCCGAGGCUAUUUUAGGUGCUGCGUCACCUUAUUAUUGGGCCAGGCCCAUGUAAUUUCGAAAUACAUAAGUAUAGGCUAUUUUUAGAGUCCGUAUGUGUGGGGAAACAAGAGAUAGGGUUGAUUUCGGAUCCCUCCACCAAGGGCCACGAAAUUCCCCCCCUCUUCCUCCAUAUAUACAGCCCUUAGGGCAUCGUUUAGACUUUGGGUUUUGUUUAGAUUAAAAGUUCGCCAUAGCUGCAACUUCGCGUACUUCGUUUGUGUUCAACGACCAGACAAAGGCGUCACAGAACCCCACCUUGAUCAAUAAAGUUUUCAUCUUAUAUUCGCAAUAUCCAGAUUGCAAUCUCAGUUUCUUGCUUGUUCUUCGUUUGCUCGCAGGAAACAGACCCUCGUGGUCAGGUUGAUCGUGCUCCGGCGUGGUCAAUAACCUCUCGGAGUUGGUUUAGCGAUUGCUAAGGCGCGACGUCCUCGCACGUUCGUAGUCGGAUCGUCAAAGUCGUCUCCACCAAAUCGAUAGUUAUCAUCUCAUCGAAAGAUCGGGACACCCCGCCUCUAUCAUCUACAUAGGCUGAUUAUGUUGAUUGUGAUGUGGUACCUAUGCAAGCAUGUUCCUUAUUACUUGGUAGACCAUGGCAAUUUGAUAAAAAUUCUGUACACCAUGGUAGAAACAAUCACUAUACUCUUGUUCAUAAGGAUAAAAAUAUUACUUUGCUUCCUAUGACUCCUGAUUCCAUUUUGAAAGAUGAUAUUAAUAGAGCUAAUAAAGCAAAACAGGAGACGAAUAAGAGUGAAAAUCAGAUUGUGGCAAAAGAAUUUGAGCAACAAAUGAAGCCUAAUAAUAAACCAUCUAGUGUUGCUUCUGAAAUUAAAUUGAAAAGUGCAUGUUUAUUUGCCACCAAAUCUGAUAUUGAUGAGCUAGAUUUCAGCAAAUCUGUUUGCUAUGCUUUUGUGUGCAAAGAGGCAUUAUUUUCAUUCGAGGACGUGCCUUCUUCUUUGCCUCCUGCUGUCACUAACAUUUUGCAGGAGUUCGCUGACGUUUUUCCACAAGACGUGCCACCGGGAUUACCGCCUAUUCGAGGGAUUGAGCAUCAGAUUGACUUAAUUCCCGGUGCUUCACUGCCAAACCGUGCACCAUACCGUACCAAUCCAGAGGAGACGAAGGAGAUUAUGCGUCAAGUACAAGAGCUUCUCGACAAAGGUUAUAUACGCGAAUCCCGUAGUCCUUGUGCUGUUCCUAUUAUUCUAGUGCCGAAAAAGGAUGGUACAUCACGUAUGUGUGUUGAUUGUAGAUGCAUUAAUAAUAUUACUAUUCGUUAUCGUCAUCCUAUUCCUAGGCUAGAUGAUAUGCUUGAUGAAUUGAGUGGCUCUACAAUAUUCUCCAAAGUUGAUUUGCGUAGUGGCUACCAUCAAAUUCGUAUGAAAUUGGGAGAUGAAUGGAAAACAGCAUUUAAAACUAAGUUUGGAUUAUAUGAGUGGUUAGUCAUGCCUUUUGGGUUAACUAAUGCACCUAGUACUUUCAUGAGAUUAAUGAACGAAGUUUUACGUGCUUUCAUUGGACGAUUUGUGGUAGUUUACUUUGAUGACAUAUUGAUUUAUAGCAGAUCUUUGGAGGAACAUUUGGAACAUUUACGUGCUGUUUUUAUUGCUCUACGUGAUGCACGUUUGUUUGGUAACCUUGGGAAGUGCACCUUUUGCACCGACCGAGUAUCUUUUCUUGGCUAUGUUGUUACUCCACAGGGAAUUGAAGUUGAUAAAGCCAAGAUUGAAGCUAUUCAGAGUUGGCCGCAACCCAAAAGGGUCACACAAGUGAGGAGUUUUCUUGGCCUCGCUGGAUUCUAUAGGCGUUUUGUGAGAGAUGAUGAGGACAUCAAUACAAUUGUUACACCCACAGCCCCUGCUGCUAUACAUACUGGACCAAUUACUAGAGCUCGUGCACGCCAACUAAAUUACCAGGUACUUUCGUUUCUUGGUAAUGAUUCUAAUGUUCAUGAGAAUAUGAUGCUGCCUAAAUUGGAUACAUUUGUUUUGCUUACAAAUGAAGGGCCUAGCUUGGAGAAGGAUGAACAUUGGAGCAAGAACAAGCAUGGAGAUGAUGGCAUGCGCAAGGGAAACAAGAACGGAGUUACAAGUGAUGAUUUCAGGACUUUGAAGCCACCAUAAUGGGUGCAUGAAGCCUUGGACGAAAUAUACAAGACGCCACUUCAUAAAUUUCGUCCCGAGGCUAUUUUAGGUGCUGCGUCACCUUAUUAUUGGGCCAGGCCCAUGUAAUUUCGAAAUACAUAAGUAUAGGCUAUUUUUAGAGUCCGUAUGUGUGGGGAAACAAGAGAUAGGGUUGAUUUCGGACCCCUCCACCAAGGGCCACGAAAUUCCCCCCCUCUUCCUCCAUAUAUACAACCCUUAGGGCAUCGUUUAGACUUUGGGAUUUGUUUAGUUAAAAGUUAGCCAUUGCAACUUCGUGUACUUCGUUUGUGUCCAACGACCAGACCAAGACCGCUUACGGAUCCCCACCAUUAUCAAUACCUCAAAUAUAUUUGCAAUAUUCAGAUUGCUUUAUCAUAUUCUUGCUCGUUCUUCGAUUGCUUGCAGGAAUAGACCUUCAUGGUCAGGCUGACCGUGCUUCCGGCAUCGUCAGUAACCUCAGGAGAUUGGUUUAGCGAUUGCUAAGGCGCAACGUCGUGCACGUUUGUAGUCGGAUCGUCAAAGUCGUCUCCACCAAAUCGAUAGUUAUCAUCUCAUCGAAAGAUCGGGACACCCUCGCCUCUAUCAGCAGGCCCCGCAGGUGCGCUCUUGGCAGAUAAUGGUGGUUGUGCCUGUUUUCUUGUAUCACGGCUGGAGGUGGCACCGGAUGGAGGUGCUGGUGCAGUUGAAGUAGAAGAUGCACGUGGUGUCCAUGAUGAAGGUCGGCCUGCAGAAAAGUUAGUUCGCCCCAAUGCUUGUCGAUCCUGCACUUCACGUUCAGCUUUACAAGCAAGAUGGAAUAAACGAGUGAUAUUAGUAUACUCCUUAUAGUCUAGAAUGGUCUGAAUCUCUCUAUUUAAUCCACCCAGAAAACGUGCAAGCAUAGCUUCAUUCUCCUCAACAAUACCACAUAUAAUCAUGCCAGUUUGUAAUUCCUGAUAAUAUUCUUCUACAGAAUUUUUCCAUUGUCUUAAACGCUGCAAUUUUUGAAGCAAUUCACGUUGAUAAUAUGGUGGAACCCAACGCGUACGCAUAGCAGUUUUCAAAGCAGCCCAAGUAGUUGGAAUAGGAUAUAAUCUACAAUGUUCAGACCACCAUACACAUGCAAAACUAGUGAAAGCACAAACAGCAGCAGCAACUCGUCUCUCCUCAGGAUAUUGUAAACAUGUAAAUCGUUGUUCAGUUUCUAACUCCCAAGUAAGAUAUAUAUCAGGAACAUAUCUACCCUCAAAUGGUGGAAUAUUCAAUUUCAGUUUAGGAAUAUGGACAUCAUCUCGUACCUGAGGUGGUGGUGCAGGCCUACCAUUACGAAUAUAUACCUGAGGUCGACCUGCUGGUGGUGGUGCUGGUGGCUGCUCGUAGAUCUGAUUUUGAUCAACCUCAUCCUCAUAAUCGCCUGCAUACUCAUCAUCCUCCUGGGUACCAGCAACAGCAAUAGCAGGAGCCACAGAAGUAUCAACAGCAGCACCAACAGUUUGGCCAAACGCAAGAGGAACACGGCUCGCUCGGCGAAGGUCUAUUUCGCGACGUGGAGGUAGUCGUUGUUGUUGUUGUUGGAGAGGUGCGUUAGGUGCAGCGGGUGGUAGUGGUGGAAGACGUGCGAGCAAUUCAUUAAAUCUGUUAUCGAGCUUUGUUUCGAACGUCUUCUCAAGGCCAGUGAUCUUCUCCAUGGCCUCUUCAAAAUUGUUCAGCACAUCUUGCACCUGUUCAGUCAUCAUUUGCUGAAACUUAUCAUGAAGCUCCUUGUUCGAUAAAUUCGCCCAGUCAAUCUCGUCGGCUUGUGAUCCUGGCAUGGUUAGCAGCAAUAGAAACACACAAGAAUAUGAUCCUACAGACUACUAACAAGUGGUGGUGGUGGGUGUCACAAAUCCGUCAAGCAAAACUCAAAUUCUUACCAGUUCUUACCCAGCAACAGGCGGUGAUCGGCAACCGUUGUAGUCAAAACUCUCAAAGCUUGGAUAGAGCGAUUACCAGGGAGAGUCAAACGCACGACGUAGAUGUAUGUGAAGCUGGGAAGGCUUAUACUAUGGUAGCAAAAAGGGUCAGCAAUAAUCAAUUCAGAGAUGCAAAGUUGAAUAAACGCGCAACGACGGUACUGUGCUGGUCCUAGGCUAGACUGUGCUAGAGACGCGAGCCUAGAACACCAACAAAAUCACGGCGCGGCACGUAAACAAGGGGAAAGCACACUCUGAAUUUUUUUUCGCUCUUUUUUUUUGCGCUCUUUUCUUUUGCGCUGCUUUUUUUUUGCGAAAAAUCACUAUAAUGGCGAGUAUCUCAAAACUCUUCCUAGCUCAAACUGACAGGAUGGGCACGAAAUUUUUUGACCAAUUUUUUUUUUUCGACUGCUCGGACCCAAAAACUGGAAACGGGUCAAAAAAACUUCCUAUAAUGGCACCUGUCUCAAAACACUCAGAAACACCUAAAAAUAGGAUAGCCAGAAAUUUUUUCGAAAAAUGCGUUUUCGAAAAAUUUUGGGCCUAAACGGAGCGUGGCUACCCGACUCUUUUUUUUUCCGAAACCUACUCCGGCAAGGAAACACGAAUCGGAAUCUAGAUGGAUCCCGAAAACAAACCUAAUAAGCAAGGAACUCGGAUUGGUGGUGGAUAUAUGGUGGUGGUAUAUGGCAGCGGUGGUGGUAGCGGUGGUAGUAUAUGGAUAUGGAUCGGUGGUGGUAUAUGGGCACGGAUUGGUGGUGGUAUAUGGAUACGGAUUCGGAGCGGUGGUGGUAGCUGGCAGGGGCGAUGAUGAUGGUGCGGCGGCGGCGUGACAACUGAUGAACAGAACUCGAAACUCUAAAAGACCAGACUCUAAGACCAGCAACUAGACCGACGAUGCAACCGCAAAUUCAACAAAGCAAAACCCUAAAAAGAUUAUGCAAAGGCUCAGAUUGGUUCGGAUAUGAUGAACUAACCCUAUUUUUUUGUGUGGCUUUUUCGUGGACUGUAGGUAUGAAGAACAGACUCGAUCUAAACUACGAAAAACUGUAAAACCUCAUCGAGCAACCUGGAAAUCUGAUACCACUUGAUAGAGGCAAAGGUGUCCCGUCUUUCGAUGAGAUGAUGGAUAUCGCUUUGGUGGAAGUCGACUUUGACGAUCCGACUACGAACGUGCGAGGACGUCGCGCCUUAGCAAUCGCUAAACCAACUCCGAGAGGUUAUUGACCACGCCGGAGCACGAUCAACCUGACCACGAGGGUCUGUUUCCUGCGAGCAAACGAAGAACAAGCAAGAAACUAAGAUUGCAAUCUGGAUAUUGCGAAUAUAAGAUGAAAGCUUUAUUGAUCAAGGUGGGGUUCUGUGACGCCUUUGUCUGGUCGUUGAACACAAACGAAGUACGCGAAGUUGCAGCUAUGGCGAACUUUUAAUCUAAACAAAACCCAAAGUCUAAACGAUGCCCUAAGGGCUGUAUAUAUGGAGGAAGAGGGGGGAAUUUCCUGUCCCUUGGUGGAGGGGUCCGAAAUCAACCCUAUCUCUUGUUUCCCCACACAUACGGACUCUAAAAAUAGCCUAUACUUAUGUAUUUCGAAAUUACAUGGGCCUGGCCCAAUAAUAAGGUGACGCAGCACCUAAAAUAGCCUCGGAACGAAAUUUAUGAAGUGGCAUCUUGUAUAUUUCAUCCAAGGCUUCAUGCACCCAUUAUGGUGGCUUCAAAGUCCUGAAAUCAUCACUUGUAACUCUGUUCUUGUUCCCCUUGCGCAUGCCAUCAUCUCCAUGCUUGUUCUUGCUCCAAUGUUCAUCCUUCUCCAAGCUAGGCCCUUCAUUUGUAAGCAAAACAAAUGUAUCCAAUUUAGGCAGCAUCAUAUUCUCAUGAACAUUAGAAUCAUUACCAAGAAACGAAAGUACCUGGUAAUUUAGUUGGCGUGCACGAGCUCUAGUAAUUGGUCCAGUAUGUAUAGCAGCAGGGGCUAUGGGUGUAACAAUUGUAUUGAUGUCCUCAUCAGAUUCGGUCUCUUUGCUCGAAGCUUCGUUUUCGAAACUUUCAUUUGUUGCUCAAAUUCUUUUGCUAAAAUCUGAUUUUCACUCUUAUUUUUCUCCUGUUUUGCUUUAUUAGCUCUAUUAAUAUCAUCUUUCAAUAUGGAUUCAGGAGUCAUACGAAGCAAAGUAAUAUUUUUAUCCUUAUGAACAAGAGUAUACUGAUUGUUUCUACCAUGGUGUACAGAAUUUUUAUCAAAUUGUCAUGGUCUACCAAGUAACAAGGAACAUGCUUGCAUAGGUACCACAUCACAAUCAACAUAAUCGGCAUAUGUAUAGAUACUAAAAUGCACACGAACAGUACGUGUUACCUUAACCUUGCCGUUGUUGUUGAACCAUUGGAUGUAGUACGGAUGUGGAUGUGGUCUUGUGGUGAGAGAUAGUUUCUCCACCAUCUCCAUGCUAGCCAAGUUAUUGCAGCUCCCUCCAUCUAUGAAGACGCGAACAGAACGUUCCUUCACAACGUCCUUUGUAUGGAACAAAUUAUGCCUCUGAUUUUGCUCAGCUUGUGUAACCUGCACACUCAAAACACGUUGCUCUUGAGCAACUAAACAUUCAUACCUGUCAGCAUCUUCAGCAGCCAUGUUUUGCGUCUCAUGAUCAGAAUCCUCUCCCCCGUGUUCUUCAUGUGUAAUAAGAGCCAAAGUCUCCUCAUCAUAGUCACUAGCGGACUCAUACCCACCAUCCUCAGUAGCAACCAUCACGCGCUGAGAUUGGCAUUCUCUCGCAAAAUGUCCUCUUCCCUUACAACGACGACAAAUAAUAUCACUUGUGUGCCCUGUUGAUGCCAUGGAAGAAGAAGAAGAGCUCUGCGCAGGUCCGGCAGCUGUGCUCUUGGCAGAUAGUGGUGGUUGUGCCUGCUUUCUUGUAUCACGGCUGGAGGUGGCACCUGAUGGAGGUUCUCGUGGAGUGGAAGUAGAGGAUGCACGUGGUGUCCAUGAUGAAGAUCGACCAGCAGAAAAGUUAGUUCGCGCCAAUACAUGUUGAUCCUGCACUUCACGUUCAGCUUUACAAGCAAGAUGGAAUAAACGAGUGAUAUUAGUAUACUCCUUAUAGUCUAGAAUGGUCUGAAUCUCUUUAUUUAAUCCACUCAGAAAACGUGCAAGCAUAGCUUCAUUCUCCUCAACAAUACCACAUCUAAUCAUGCCAGUUUGUAAUUCCUGAUAAUAUUCUUCUACAGAAUUUUUCCCUUGUCUUAAACGCUGCAAUUUUUGAAGCAAUUCACGUUGAUAAUAUGGUGGAACCCAACGCGUACGCAUAGCAGUUUUCAAAGCAGCCCAAGUAGUUGGAAUAGGAUAUAAUCUACAAUGUUCAGACCACCAUACACAUGCAAAACUAGUGAAAGCACAAACAGCAGCAGCAACUCGUCUCUCCUCAGGAUAUUGUAAACAUGUAAAUCGUUGUUCAGUUUCUUACUCCCAAGUAAGAUAUAUAUCAGGAACAUAUCUACCCUCAAAUGGUGGAAUAUUCAAUUUUAGUUUAGGAAGAUGGUCAUGUACCUCAGGUGGUGGUGCAGCCCUACCGUUGCGAUGAUAUGCAUGAGGACGACCUAGUGGUGCUGGUGCUGGUGGUUGCACGUAGUUCUGAUUUUGAUCAACCUCAUCCUCGUAAUGGUCUUCCACCUCUGCAGUAGCAGCAGGAGCGACAGAAGCACCAACAGUAGGUAUAGCAGCACCAGAAGUUUGACCAGGCUCAAUGGGAACACGUUGUGCUCGUCCCACUUGAUUUGGAAGACGAUGUUGUUGUUGUUGUUGUAGAGGUGCGACAGGUGCAACGGGCAGUGGAAGACGCGCGAGCAAUUCAUUAAACGUGUGAUCAAGCUUUGUUUCGAAUGCCUUCUCAAUGCCAUCUAUCUUCUCCAUGGCCUCUUCAAAUCUAUUUAGCACAUCUUCCACCUGUCCACUCAUCAUUUGCUGAAACUUAUCAUGUAACUCUUUGUUCGUCAUGUUCUUCCAGUCAGUCUCAUCGGCUUGUGAUCCUGCCAUGGUUAGCAGCAAUAGAAACACACAAGAAUAUGAUCCGACAGACUCCUAGUAAAUGGUGGACAAUCACAAAUCCGUCAAGCAAAUCUCAAAUUCCUACCAGUUCUUACCCAGCAGCAGGCGGUGAUCGGCAACCGUCGUAGUCAAAACUCUCAAAGCUUGGAUAGAGCGAUUACCAGGGAGAGUCAAACGCACGACGUAGAUGUAUGUGGAGCUAGGAAGGCUUAUAAUAUGGUAGCAAAAAGGGUCAGCAAUAAUCAAUUCAGAGAUGCAAAGUUGAAUAAACGCUCAACGACGGUACUGUGCUGGUCCUAGGCUAGACCAUACUAGAGACGCGAGCCUAGAACACUAACAAAAUCAUGGCGCUGCACGUAAACAAGGGAGGAGCACACUCAGAUUUUUUUCCUUUUUUUUCACUUUUUUCACUUUUUUCCUCUUUUUUUUUGCUCCGCAACAAAUUUUUUUCAAAAAAAAUCUACAAAUGUCCUAAAAACUGCCUAGCCAGAAUUUUCCAGACUUAGUUUUUUUUUUAGUUUGGAACUAUUUUUCUUCUGCGGAUGGCUCGAAAGUUGGGGAGUCCUACUCUGUCACGACUCGGAGUAUCGCGUGAUCCGAAAAUCAAAAACAAUGCAACAAUUACUGGACUCGGACUAGGACUGGUGGCGGAGAUGAAUCUGGUGGAAUCUCAGACUGGUGGCGGCGAUGAAUCUGGUGGAAAUCGGACUGGUGGCGGAUAUAUGUUGCAGGUGGACUCAGAUUGGCGUGAUGGCGGCGGAUACGUGGUGGCGUAUAUGGACUCGGAUUGGUGGUGAAUAUGGCAACAGCGAUGAUGAUGAUGCGGUGGUGAUAUAUGGCAGCGGCAACGUGACAACCUCUGAACAGAACUCGAAACUCUAAAGGACUAGACGCUAAGACCAGCAACUUGACACGACGAUGCAACCACAAAUUCAACAAAGCAAAUAUAGAAAAGAUUAUGCAAAGGCUCAGAUUGGUUCGGAUAGGAUGAACUAACCCUUUUUUUUGGCUUUUUCGUGGACUAUAGGUACGAAGAACAGACUCGAUCUAAACUACGAAAAACUGUAAAAUCUCACCGAGCAACCUGAAAAUCUGAUACCACUUGAUAGGGGCAAAGGUGUCCCGUCUUUCGAUGAGAUGGUGGCUAACGUUUUGGAGGAAGUCGACUUUGACAAUCCGACUACGAACGUGCGAGGACGUCGCGCCUUAGCAAUCGCUAAACCAACUCCGAGAGGUUAUUGACCAUGCCGGAGCACGAUCAACCUGACCACAAAGGUCUGUUUCCUGCAGGCAAACAAAGAACAAGCAAGAAACUGAGAUUGCAAUCUGGAUAUUGCGAAUAUAAGAUGAAAGCUUUAUUGAUCAAGGUGGGGUUCUGUGACGUCUUGGUCUGGUCAUUGGACACAAACGAAGUACGCAAAGUUGUAGCUAUGGCGAACUUUUAAUCUAAACAAAACCCCAAAGUCUAAACGACGCCCUAAGGGCUGUAUAUAUGGAAGAAGAGGGGGGAAUUUCGUGGCCCUUGGAGGAGGUGUCCGAAACCAACCCUAACUCUUGUUUCCCCACACAUACGGACUCUAAAAACAGCUUUUACUUAUGUAUUUCAAAAAUACAUGGGCCUGGCCCAAUAAUAAGGUGACGCAGCACCUAAAAUAGCCUCUGGACGAAACUUAUGAAGUUGCAUCUUGUAUAUUUCGUCCAAGGCUUCAUGCACUCCUUAUGGUGGCUUCAAAGUCCUGAAAUCAUCACUUGUAACUCCGUUCUUGAUUCCCUUGCGCAUGCCAUCAUCUCCAUGCUUGAUCUUACUCCAAGGUUCAUCUUUCUUGUCCAAGCUAGGCCCUUCAUUUUUAAGCAAAACAAAUGUAUCCAAUUUAGGCAGCAUCAUAUUCUCAUGAACAUUAGAAUCAUUACCAAGAAAUGAAAGUACCUGAUAAUUCAAUUGGCGUGCGCAAGCUCUAGUAAUUGGUCCAGUAUGUAUAGCAGCAGGGGCUGUGGGUGUAACAAUGGUAUUGAUGUCCUCAUCACUUCAUAUCUCUCAACUCGGGCAUUUGCUUGAAAUAUUAACUUCAACUCCUGGAACAUCUCAUAUGCUCCAACGUUCAAAACGUCUUUGAAGUCCCGAUUCUAAGCCGUAAAUCAUGGCACACUGAACUAUCGAGUAGUCAUCAGCUUUGCUCUGCCAUACGUUCAUAACAUCUGGAGUUGCUCCUGCAGCGGGUCUUGCACCUAGCGGUGCUUCCAGGACGUAAUUCUUCUGUGCAGCAAUGAGGAUAAUCCUCAAGUUAUGGACCCAGUCCAUGUAGUUGCUACCAUCAUCUUUCAACUUAGCUUUCUCUAGGAACGCAUUAAAAUUCAAGGGAAUAGUAGCACGGGCCAUUGAUCUACAACAACAUAGACAUGCAAAUACUAUCAGGUACUAAGUUCAUGAUAAAUUAAAGUUCAGGUAAUUAUAUUACUUAAGAACUCCCACUUAGAUAGACAUCCCUCUGGUCAUCUAAAUGAUCACGUGAUCCAUGUCAACUAAACCAUGUCCGAUCAUCAUGUGAGAUGGAGUGGUUUUCAAUGGUGAACAUCACUAUGUUGAUCACAUCUACUAUAUGAUUCACGUUCGACCUUUUGGUCUCAGUGUUCCGAGGCCAUAUCUGCAUAUGAUAGGCUCGUCAAGUUUAACCCGAGUAUUCUACAUGUGCAAAACUGGUUUGCACCCGUUGUAUGUGAACGUAGAGCUUAUCACACCCGAUCAUCAUGUGGUGUCUCGGCACGACGAACUGUAGCAACGGUGCAUACUCAGGGAGAACACUUGUACCUUGAAAUUUAGUGAGGGAUCAUCUUAUAAUGCUACCGCCGUACUAAGCAAAAUAAAAUGCAUAAAGAAUAAACAUCACAUGCAAACAAAAUAUGUGACAUGAUAUGGCCAUCAUCAUCUUGUGCCUUUGAUCUCCAUCUCCAAAGCACCAUCAUGAUCUCUAUCGUCACCGGCUUGACACCUUGAUCUCCAUCGUAGCAUCGUUGUCGUCUCGCCAACUAUUGCUUAUACGACUAUUGCUACCGCUUAGUGAUAAAGUGAAGCAAUUACAUGGCGAUUGCAUUUCAUACAUUAAAGCGACAACUAUAAGGCUCCUGCCAGUUGCCGAUAACUUUUACAAAACAUGAUCAUCUCAUACAACAAUUUAUAUCUUAUCACGUCUUGACCAUAUCAUAUCACACAUGCCCUGCAAAAACAAGUUAGACGUCCUCUACUUUGUUGUUGCAAGUUUUACGUGGCUGCUACGAGCUUCUAGCAAGAACCGUUCUUACGUACGUGUCAAAACCACAACGAUUUUUCGUCAAGUGUGUUGUUUUAACCUUCAACAAGGACCAACCGUAGUCAAACUCGAUUCAAUUAAAAUUGGAGAAACAGACACCCGCCAGCCACCUGUGUGCGAAGCACGUCGGUAGAACCAGCCUCAUGAACGCGGUCAUGCAAUGCCGGUCCAGACCGCUUCAUCCAACAAUACCGCCGAAUCAAAGUAAGACGUUGGUGGUAAGCAGUAUGACUAUUAUCGCCCACAACUCUUUGUGUUCUACUCGUGCAUAUAACAUCUAUGCAUAGAUCUGGCUCGGAUGCCACUGUUGGGGUACGUAGUAAUUCAAAAAAAAUUCCUACAAUCACACAAGAUCUAAUUAGGAGAUGCAUAGCAAUGAGAGGAGAGAGUGUGUCCACGUACCCUCGUAGACCGAAAGCAGAAGCGUUUAGUAAUGCGGUUGAUGUAGUCGAACAUCUUCAUGAUUCAACCGAUCCAAGCACCGAACGUACAACACCUCCGUGUUCAGCACACGUUCAGCAUAAUGACGUCCCUCGAGCUCUUGAUCCAGUUGAGGGCGAGGGAGAGUUCUUCAGCACGACGGUGUGGCGACGGUGAUGAUGAAGUUACCGGCACAGGGCUUCAUCUAAGCACUACAACGAUAUGACCGAGGUGUUGAACUGUGGAGGGGGGCACUACACACGGCUAAGAGAUUGUAUGUUGUCCUAUUAGGGUGCCCCUAGCCACGUGUAUAAAGGAGGGAGGGAGAGAGGAGGCCGGCCAAGAGAGGCGCGCCACGGGGAGUCCUACUCGGACUCCGAGUCCAAGUAGGAUUCGCCCCCUCCCCCUUUCCUUUCUUCCACCGAAGGGAAAGGGAGGAGGGGGGCCGCGCCCCCACCCCUUGUCCAAUUCGGUUUGGUUAAGGGGGGCGCGCACCACCUCGUGGCCCUUCUUUCCUCUCUCCACUAAAGCCCACUAAGGCCCAUUAACUUCCCCGGGGAAUUCCGGUAACCUCCCGGUACUUCGGAAAAAUACCCGAACUACUCGGAACCAUUUUGAUGUCCAAAUGCAACCUUCCAAUAUAUGAAUCUUUACCUCUCAAUCAUUUCGAGACUCCUCGUCACGUCUGUGAUCUCAUCCGGGACUCCGAACAAAUUCCGGUCAUCAAAUCACAUAACUCAUAAUACAAAUCGUCAUCCAAUGUUAAGCGUGUGGACCCUGCGGGUUCAAGAACUAUGUAGACAUGACCGAGACACAUUUCUGGUCAAUAACCAAUAGCGGAAUGUGGAUGCUCAUAUUGGUUCCUUUUUCAUCGGUAUCGGUCAAACCGCAUAACAACAUAUGGUCAAACCGCAUAAUAACAUACGUCAUUCCCUUUGUCAUCGGUAUGUUACUUGCCCGAGAUUUGACAGUCGGUAUCAUCAUACCUAGUUCAAUAUCGUUAUCGGCAAGUCUCUUUACUCAUUCCGUAAUGUAUCAUCCCGUAACUAACUCACUAGUCAAAUUGCUUCCAAGGCUUAUAGUGAUGUGCAUUACCGAGAGGGCCCAGAGAUACCUCUCUGAUACACUGAGUGACAAAUCCUCAUCUUGAUCUAUGCCAACUCAACAAACACCAUCGGAGACACCUGUAGAGCAUCUUUAUAAUCACACAGUUAUGUUGUGACGUUUGAUAGCACACAAGGUGUUCCUCCGGUAUUCGGGAGUUGCAUAAUCUCAUAGUCAGAGGAACAUGUAUAUGUCAUGAAGAAAGCAAUAGCAAUAAAACUAAACGAUCAUUAUGCUAAGCUAACGGAUGGGUCUUGUCCAUCACAUCAUCCCGUUCAUCAAAUGACAACACAUGUCUAUGGUCAGGAAACUUAAUCAUCUUUGAUUAAUGAGCUAGUCAAGUAGAGGCAUACUAGGGACACUCUGUUUGUCUAUGUAUUCACACAUGUACUAAGUUUCCGAUUAAUACAAUUCUAGCAUGAAUAAUAAACAUUUAUCAUGAUAUAAGGAAAUAUAAAUAACAACUUUAUUAUUGCCUCUAGGGCAUAUUUCCUUCACAAUGGUCAUCAUUAAACCAUCCCAACAUUGGUGAAUAAACCUUACUUGCAUCAAAUUUACAUGCUACAACAUGCUUAAGUAAGCAAACAUGCAAUAAGUCAUUGGUCACGAAAUCAUCACCAAGAUUAGAGGUCAUAUCAAAAUGAUUAAACAUCGGUUCUUUUGCAUCAACAGUUAAUUCAAUGGGUGCACUCAAAAUUAUUGUUAUUUCAGUUGUUUGAUCACAUGACACAUUCAUGACAGUAACACGAUUCUUUAAAAUAGGUGGUGUGCUGAAAUCAAUAGGUAACUCAACACAUAUGUAUUCAAGUUAACUAGGCAUGCAUCAUUCUCAUGUGAAGUUCUAUCAUCAAUAUCUUUACUGUUACCUUGUCGCAAAGAAGUAAUUGAUGUAGGUACGGAUGGUAACAAUGUAUCAUACACUUGAGAUGAUGUCACGCUCAAGAUCUGAGGUGUGGCUACUCUAGUAGGUGUAACGGUAGAAGAACCGACUGGUGCUAGUGAGCAUGAUAGAGGCGAGGGUCCCGAUCUUUCGAUGAGAUAAUAACUAUCGAUUUGGUGGAGACGACUUUGACGAUCCGACUACAAACGUGCACGACGUUGCGCCUUAGCAAUCGCUAAACCAAUCUCCUGAGGUUACUGACGAUGCUGCAAGCGCGGUCAGCCUGACCACAAAGGUCUAUUCCUGCUAGCAAUCGAAGAACGAACAAGAAUAUGAUAAAGCAAUCUGAAUAUUGCAAAUAUAUAUGAAGUAUUGAUAAUGGUGGGGAUCUGGAAGCGGUCUUGGUCUGGUCGUUGGACACAAACGAAGUACACGAAGUUGCAAUGGCUAACUUUUAACUAAACAAAUCCCUAGGAAAAAGCUACUAGAUGGAUCUACUUAUAUAGGAGCAAGGGGUGGCGGCCAAGGAGGUGGGAGGACGUCCCAAGGCAGCCUAAAACUAACCCUAGGUCAUACAAGGCUCAUGGGCCCAAGUGGAGGUGAUGCAACACCUUUGGGCUUGUAGUUUGACUCGGAUUCUGCUGCAACGUCAGAUUGUUUCGUCCGUAACUCAACGCUCCAGACGAAUUUGAAGGUGAAUCCAAUUGAGUUGGAAAGAGCACGAAAUCUAGUUUCCAACAAAAAAAGAAUCACCCAAUUCGGAGUAAGUAUGAAAAAGUUGUUGGCGUUUUAAGUCAGGUAUGUCUGUGUAGUCCGAAUCUGAAUCCAGAACGUUUGAGACUUGGACUCUAUCUUCUCUUGGCCCAAAAGUGACGUGAGAGGACUUUUUGAACACAACCUAAACUUCUCCUUUUCCCUUAUCUUCAUAUGUGGAUUGUACAAAUGUCCCAUACACCUGCAAUUAGACAAAACACAAAAGUGUGUGAAGUAUUUUUGUUCUGGAUAACAUAAAUAGAUUAUUGAAUAGUUUGCAUUAGAAAUCACCUGACAAAUAUGCAUGUAUGCAAUAUUUUUUGGUCGUAUCCAAGGUAGUCAUGUCCUCAUCAGAGCAUGAACUAGAAUAGUAGUUGUUGUAGUCACCCAAUGCAUCCUCCUGUAUUUGUCUCUCAAAAGUACAAGCGCGAACAUACAUACCAGUAAUGCAACGAGGAAUAUACUGAAAUCUUGCGCGAAUAUCAUCAAACCACCAAAAAAUCUACUCAUUGUAUCAUCCUCAGAUUCUUCUAUGUCACAAUUAUGCAUAUAAGAUUUGAACUCUUGGUAGUAAGAAUGAACAGUGUUACUGCCUUGUUUUAAUUGUUCCAAUUUGCGAAGGAAUCACGGCGAUAGUAAGGAGGAAAAAAUUGUUGUCUCAUUACAACUUUCAGUUCUUUCUAAAUUGUGGGUUGGUUAUCAAUGUUUCUCUUAUGAUGCACACUCCACCAAACAGAAGCAAAACCAAUAAAUGCUCAAGUGGCGGCUCGUACUCUCUCAAGUUUAGAAAAAUCAUGGUGACUAAAAACUUGAUCUACUUCAAGCUCCCAAGCUAGAUAAAUAGCAGGAUUAAAUCUACCCUUAAAUGACGGUAAAGAGAUAACCUAACCAUGUGCGUGUGUGUGUGUUGUCCCACCUCUCGUGAUGGUGAAGAUGUAUCCGUCGUCCAAGAAUUUUUAUCUCCGGAACCUGUCAUGAUUAGUAGAAACAAGAAACAAAAUCCAAGAAUAAUGUUCCUGUGGACUACUAGGAUGUGGUGGUAAAGCGUUCACAGUAAAGCAAAUAUCAAUAUCUUACAAGUUCUUACCAUGCAGCAGGUGGUGACAGGCAACUAGCGGUGUCAAAUAACUCCGAAGAUUGAGUAAAGCGAUUGCCAGGGGAACGUACGUAUACACGGUGUAGAAAUAUGUGGAGCUUGGAAGGCUUAAAUAUUUGGCAGCAAAAGAUUUGAAAUAAUCAAUUCAGAGAUGCAAUGUUGAAUAAACGCUCAACGACGAUGCUGUGCUGGUCCUAGGCUAGACCGGACUAGAGACGCGAGCCUAAAACACUAAUUAGGUCACGACGUAGCACAGCUAGCAUCAAUAAAGGAUAGGAAGUAGCUCUGGACAGCAAGAUAUAAGUGAAGAUCACAAUGACAGUAAAUAUAAUGAUGAGAAACAACUGCCAAGCAGGAUAUAUCAAAAACUCUUUCUCCAACUUUCCUAAAAGUAGAUCCGAAUUUUGUUUUUCUUUCUUCCCUUUUUCACACUUUUUUCUUUUACUUUUUUCUCUCUUUUUUUCUCUAUCUUUUUUCCCUCCCUCUUUCCACGACAAACUGGAUAAGAUGCAGAUUGGAUCAAGCGAAGAUUGAACGAACUCAACUAUGAUUAUGAACGAUGGGUAGCACGUGGUGGAAAUUGAUGGGUGGGGUGGUGGACAGCGAAAGGAAUAACGAUGCAGCGGUUGCGUGACUAAUAUGAACAGAACUCGAAACUCUAAACGAAUUAGACACUAAGACCAGCAACUCGACACGAUAAUGCAACCGGUAAUUCAUUAAUGCAAACAAUGAAAAGAGAAAUUACAAAGGCUUAGAUUGGCUUGGACAAAGGAUAAACAUAUCUAACUUUUUUGGGGCUUUUCUUGGACAAUAGCUAAAAAAUAAAUCUAAUCUAGGGAAAACAGAAAAUUCUCACCGAGCAAUCUGAAAACUGAUACCACUUGAUAGGGGCGAGGGUGUCCCGAUGUUUCGAUGAGAUUAUAACUAUCGAUUUGGUGGAGUCAACUUUGACGACCCAACUACAAAUGUGCACGACAUUGCGCCUUAGCAAUUGCUAAACAAUCUCCCAAGGUUACCGAUGAUGCUGGAAGUACGAUCAGCCUGACCACGAAGGUCUAUUCCUCACGCAAUCGAAGAACAAGCAAGAAUAUGAUAAUGCAAUCUGAAUAUUGCGAAUAUAGAUGAAGUAUUAAUAAAGGUGGGGAUCCAAAAGCGGUCUUAGUCUGGUCAUUGGACAGAAACGAAGUACACGAAGUUGCAAUGGCUAACUUUUAACUAAACAAAUCCCAAUAAAAAAGCUACUAGAUAGAUCUACUUAUAUAGGACCAAGGGAUGGCGGCUAAGGAGAUGGGAGGACAUCCCAAGGCAGGCUAAAACAAAUCCUAGGUCGUACAAGGCUCAUGGGCCCAAGUGUAGGUGAUGCAACACCUUUGGUCUUAUAGUUUGACUCAGAUUCUGCUGCAGCAUCAGAUUGUUUCGUCAAUAUCUCAACGCUCCGGACGAAUUUGAAGGUGAAUCCAAUUGGGUUGGAAAGAGUACAAAAUCUAUUUUUAAAAAAAUCAUCCAAUUCGGAGUCUGUAUGGAAGAGUUCUUCGCAUUUUGAGUCAAGUAUGUAUGUGCAUUCAAUCCAGAACGUGAGAUACUUGGACUCUAUCUUCUCUUGACACAAAAAUGACGUGAGAGAAUUUUUUGAACAAUACCUAAACUUCUCUUUUUCCUUAUCUUCAUAUGUGGAUUGUACAAAUAUCACAUACACCUACAAUUAGACAUAGCACAAAAGUCUGUAAAAUAUUUUUAUACUGAAUGAUAUAAAUAAAUUAUUUCAUAAUUUGCAUUAAAAAUCACCUCACAAAUAUACAUGUAUGCAAUAUUUUUGAUCGUAUUCAAGGUUGGUCCUCAUCAAAAUCAAUCUAAAGCCCAAAACUCACCCUUAAAAACUGAGAAAAAUGAAAAAAAAACGGAUGCCGCCAUGGAAAGAUGAGGAAGAGCAAGAAAGAACUCACAUGCGCAAGCGUUUUCUCCAUGGACUGGGACUUGUCCACCAGAUCUCCUCUUCUACAGGAGCCACCUCCACCUUGCCUUGAACAGGGAUUGAAAGAGGGGCGGGCAGUGAGGAAGAGAAGAAGGUCAGGGAAGAAGAAAGAAAGAGAGGAAAGCUCACCUACCCGAGCAGGGGGCAGGGGCGGAGGCGGCCAUACCCGUUGGGGAAGAGCGGUGCCACUGUUGCUGAGGUGCACGCGCGUGGGGAAGACGCAAUCUCGCUCCCUCCUUUUUCUUUUGCUGCUGCCCGCGUUGCCUGUCACUCGCCGCUUUCUCUUUCUUUCCUGCCCGCUUUGCCUGUCGCUCUGCACUGUUAAUACCAACGUGAGGCAACGGUUGUGCCUAACAACCCCUUCAACCUUUAUAUGUUCGAUAAGAUGACCGUAUUAGCAGCAUAUUUACUCCAUUACUAAUAAUGAAGUGAUUGCAUUCGCAGUUAAACUAUAGGUGUUUUACAACUUACAGCUCUCAAGAAUAACAUGUUCUAUUGUUGCACAACAUAUACAUCCAAAAAGGAUCGACAUUCCAUUACACUUUCAACCUUCCAGUUCCAACCAAGCCAUCGUUUUAUACCAAGACAACCAUGCCAAAUUCUUUCAAGUAUAUAUAACUACAGAUCCCAGCAUCAUGUCUCAAACCCAGCACCUGUCCAUCCUGAUCCAGAGCUUCCCCUUCCCUUGGGGAGGACCAUCACACCGCCUCU
rnacentral:lncRNA from 1 species